ACAUGCUUACAACAUAACAUUAAUGCAUCAUAUCCCAUUAGAACUCCACAAUUAAGCGUGCUCGGGCUAGAGUAGUAUUAGGAUGGGUGACUCCACGAGAAGUCCUAGUCUUUUACAUGCC
rnacentral:rRNA from 1 species